GCAAACUGAAGGCAAUUGUAUUUGGUUUGCAUUGCAAGGUUUUAGUAGCUGGAGGGUUACAGUGGAGGCUUCUGUGAGAAGCUGCUAGAAGUUUCCCCCAUGUCCGACAGAGCCAAUGCCAGCCGGCUCCAAGAUGGACCCGCUGCUGGCCGAGGCUGAGCCCAUCGGUGAAGGUGGUAGUGCCUCUGGGCUAAUAUAUUUAAGAAGGGAGAAAAAAAAAAAAGCCCUGUGCAACUGCAGCAGUAGAGAGGAGCGAGAAGAUGCGAGAGCCCCAGCCCUGCAGACCCCAGGUCAGUGCAGAAGGAGGAUGAGGAGAUGCUCCAGGUGCCGGAGCAGAGA